GAGCUGCAGGGAAGGGGCAAAAUAGAGCGCUGAGAUUUAGUCAGUGCUGCACUGAAGGGGCAACAGCGAGCGCUGAGAGUUAGAGCUGCGUUGAUGGGGCAACAGAGCUCGCUGAGGUUAACAGCUGCUGUGAAGGGGCAACUGAGAGCGCUUAGAAUUAGAGCUGCUCUCAAUUAGCAAACAGCGCGGUGAGAGUUAGAGCUCCUGUGAAGGGGCAAUAGAGAGCGCUGAGAGUUAAAGCUGCCUUGGGGAAUCAGAGAGCACUGAGAUUUAGUCAGAGCUGCUCUGAAGGGCAACAGAGAGCGGUGAGAGUUAGAGCUGCGUUAAAGUGGGAACAGAGAGUGCUGUGAGUUAUAGAGCUGCACUGAAGGGGCAACUGAGAGCGCUUAGAGUUAGAGCUGCUGUGAAGGGGAAACAGAGAGAGCUCUGAGAGUUAGAGCUGCGUUGAAGGGGCAACACGGUGUGCUGAGAGAUAGAGCUGGUGUGAAGGGGCAACAGAGAGCGCUGAGAUUUAGUCAGAGCUGCUAUGCAGGGGCAACAGAGCGCUGAGAGUUAUAGCUGCUAUGAAUGGGCAACAGUGAGCGCUGAGUUACAGCUGCGUUGAAGGAGCAACCCAGAGCGUUGAGAGUGAGGGCUGCUGUGAAGCGGAAACAGAGUGUGGUGAGAGUUAGAGCUGCCGUGAAGGGGAAACAGAGAGUGGUGAGAGUUACAGCUGUUGUGAAGGGGCAACACACAGCGCUGAGAUUUAGAGCUGCUGUGAAGGGGCAACACAGAUCGCUGAGAUUUAGUCAGAGCUCCUCUGAAGGGGCAACAGAGCGCUCUGAGAGUUAGAGCUGCUGUGAAGGGGCAACAGAGCGUGCUGAGAGAGUUUCUGUGAAGGGGCAACACAGCGCGCUGAGAUUUAGUCAGAGCUGCACUGAAGGGGCAACAACGAGCGCUGAGAGUUAGAUCUGCGUUGAAGGGGCAACAGAGCUCGCUGAGGUUUACAGCUGCUGUGAAGGGGCAAGUGAGAGCGCUUAGAAUUAGAGCUGCUGUCAAUUAGCAAACAGAGCGGUGAGAGUUAGAGCUCCUGUGAAGGGGCAAUAGAGAGCGCUGAGAGUUAAAGCUGCCUUGGGGAAUCAGAGAGCACUGAGAUUUAGUCAGAGCUGCUCUGAAGGGCAACAGAGAGCGGUGAGAGUUAGAGCUGCGUUAAAGUGGGAACAGAGAGUGCUGUGAGUUAUAGAGCUGCACUGAAGGGGCAACUGAGAGCGCUUAGAGUUAGAGCUGCUGUGAAGGGGAAACAGAGAGAGCUCUGAGAGUUAGAGCUGCGUUGAAGGGGCAACACGGUGUGCUGAGAGAUAGAGCUGGUGUGAAGGGGCAACAGAGAGCGCUGAGAUUUAGUCAGAGCUACGAUGAAGGGUCAACAGAUGGCUGAGAGUUAUAGCUGCUAUGAAUGGGCAACAGUGAGCGCUGAGUUACAGCUGUGUUGAUGGGCAACCCAGAGCGUUGAGAGUGAGGGCUGCUGUGAAGCGGAAACAGAGUGGUGAGAGUUAGAGCUGCUGUGAAAGGGAAACAGAGAGUGGAGAGAGUUAGAGCUGUUGUGAAGGGGCAACACACGGCGCUGAGAUUUAGAGCUGCUGUGUAGGGGCUACACAGA